rnacentral:rRNA from 1 species
GACGAACGCUGGCGGCGUGCUUAACACAUGCAAGUCGAACGGAAAGGCCCUGCUUUUGUGGGGUGCUCGAGUGGCGAACGGGUGAGUAACACGUGAGUAACCUGCCCUUGACUUUGGGAGAACUUCAGGAAACUGGGGCUAAUACCGGAUAGGAGCUCCUGCUGCAUGGUGGGGGUUGGAAAGUUUCGGCGGUUGGGGAUGGAUUCGCGGCUUAUCAGCUUGUUGGUGGGGUAGUGGCUUACCAAGGCUUUGACGGGUAGCCGGCCUGAGAGGGUGAACGGCGACAUUGGGACUGAGAUACGGCCCAGAAUCCUACGGGAGGCAGUAGGGGGAAAUAUUGCACAAUGGGCGGAAGCCUGAUGCAGAAACGCCGCGUGCGGGAUGACGGCCUUCGGGUUGUAAACCGCUUUCGCCUGUGACGAAGCGUGAGUGACGGUAAUGGGUAAAGAAGCACCGGCUAACUACGUG